AGAGUUUGAUCCUGGCCAGAACGAACGCUGGCGGCGUGGAUAAGGCAUGCAAGUCGAACGACGGCCCUGAAAUAGAUCUUCGGAGAAGUGGAUGGGAUACGGAGUGGCGAAAGGGUGAGUAACACGUGAGCAAUCUGCCCUUUUGUAGGGGAUAACGCAGGGAAACCUGCACUAAUACCGUAUGUGGCCCGGGUACACCUGUACCUGGCGCUAAAGGUGGGGAUCUUCGGACCUGCCACAAAAGGAUGAGCUCGCGCACUAUUAGCUAGUUGGUGUGGUAACGGCGCACCAAGGCGAUGAUGGUUAGCUGGUCUGAGAGGAUGGUCAGCCACACUGGGACUGAGACACUGCCCAGACUCCUACGGGAGGCUGCAGUCGAGAAUCAUUCGCAAUGCGCGAAAGCGUGACGAUGCGACGCCGCGUGGAGGAUGAAGGCCUUCGGGUUGUAAACUCCUGUCACCAGGUAAUAAAGCACUGUUGAUUAAGAGUUGAUGGUGUUGAGCAAACCUGGGGAGGAAGCCACGGCUAACUCCGUGCCAGCCGCCGCGGUAAUUC
rnacentral:rRNA from 1 species